rnacentral:rRNA from 1 species
CCUGGCGGCUGUAGCGCGGUGGUCCCACCUGACCCCAUGCCGAACUCAGAAGUGAAACGCCGUAGCGCCGA